rnacentral:sRNA from 5 species
UAUUCUGCCCCACGGGGAAGGAUGAGAAGCUUCGACUAAGGUUCGACUCGAGCGAAGCGAGAGAACGUUGCCGCAGGCAACGGCCCGAAGGGCGAGGCGCUUUAGCGCCGAGUAAUCCUUCCCCCACCACCA